rnacentral:rRNA from 1 species
GACGAACGCUGGCGGCGUGCUUAACACAUGCAAGUCGAACGGAAAGGCCCUGCUUUUGUUGGGUGCUCGAGUGGCGAACGGGUGAGUAACACGUGAGUAACCCGCCCCUGACUUUGGGAUAACUUCAGGAAACUGGGGCUCAUACCGGAUAGGAGCUCUUGCUGCAUGGUGGGGGUUGGAAAGUUUCGGCGGUUGGGGAUGGACUCGCGGCUUAUCAGCUUGUUGGUGGGGUAGUGGCUUACCAAGGCUUUGACGGGUAGCCGGCCUGGGAGGGUGACCGGCCACAUUGGGACUGAGAUACGGCCCAGACUCCUACGGGAGGCAGCAGGGGGGAAUAUUGCACAAUGGGCGGAAGCCUGAUGCAGAAACGCCGGGUGCGGGAUAACGGCCUUCGGGUUGUAAACCGCUUUCGCCGGUGACGAGGCGUGAGUGACGGUAAUGGGUAAAGAAGCACCGGCUAACUACGUG